GAGGAUCAGAGCAGGGAGAAGUCUGGUUUAUGUAUUCCUGGUCUUUGGACACAGUGCUUAUGUGUCAGGAAUUUGCUGGUUCCUGGGAACGUUUGUGGAAAUGUUUGAGGAUUCCUCAGCUUGGAAGCUGUCCUUGUCAGACUGCAGGCGACCUACGGGUAAAGAGACCAUUUCUGAGAAACGGAAACUGAGCUCCUCCCUUCCUCGGGCACGACAGAAUGAAAAGUGAAACUACCACUGUCUCUUCAGGGAUUUCAACACAGAUGGUAGAGAAAAGCAGUUUGAGGUGUUACCUGAGUUGGAACUCAGAUCUGGCUCAACUUUGACAGCUGGUUAUUUAAUUCUUCCACCUCUGGCUCCCUGCUAAUGCACCAGGUUUGUGGGUGUGAAUUGACAGUGGUCUGGAGGAAAGGGAGAGGACAGAGUGAGGGAACUGUGGACUUCAGGGCAAACAAGGGAGGAAGCGGAACAGCAGGAUUUAAAAAGACAAUGUCUUAUUGAAAUAUGCCAGCCGGGAUGUGCAGCUUGUUUCCUAAGAACUGGCUUCCAAGCUUUUGACAUUUUCUGGCUAGAUGUCCUCUUGCCAUAGCAGGAAUUCUUCUCCCCUCACGUCAGUGUCCAUUUGGUAUUGAGAGCCAACCUGUACAACUCAGAUGAAAAGCUUUUCUGCACUCAAACUGGUGCAGAGUGCUGCAAAUUCCUUAUUUGACCUUGCUGGUGUGCUUUAUUAAAACUGAGGAUGAGAGAUUUGACAGCUGAAAUUACUACAGAAAUCUCCAGGAGAUUUCUGCUGUGCUCCUUAGAUGUGACACCACCCUUAAAUCAGUGUAUGCAGCCCCGUUGGAGCAGGCGGUGGCCGCGGGCAGGGUCGAGAGGUGCUGCGAGGGAAAUCCGAGAAGGGAAGCGCUCUGAGGCCCCAGGGAGGCCAGGGGACACCAGAGGCAGGGAAGAGCAGUGGAACUGGAGAGUGACUGGAGCCAGCGCAGUUGCAUUUGCAAAAUGUCUGCCCAAAGUCAUUCAGCUGUUUGUUGUGAAUCCAUGUCUGCUGUCCCCCUGCAGAGAAGCACAAGGCCAGCUGUUCCUCCAGCUGUGAUUUUUGCUUUUUCUUUCUGAAGUACCAGUUCCGGGGCCUUCCUGCUGAGCUCUUGGCAGCAUCCUCCCCUCCAAAGCCAUUCUUCUCCCCCUCGGUGUUACUGCCAGCACCAGGAGUUUGAAUAAGCCCAUCUGGAAGCCAGCUCUGCAGACUAUUUCCAGAGCAGCAAACAAUACUGGAAAAGUAAAGACUGAUUAAUUAAUUUUUUCCUUAAUCAUGAUAUAGUCCUAUUCCAUAGAACACUGAUUUAUUUCACUUACAUGCCAGCAUAUAUAUACCAUGGAAAGAAACCAACAGGUGACACCCACUUCUGCAGAACACAAUUGCAGUUCUCUAAGUAUUUCCUCUAAGUAUUCUUCGUAAAUGAAAUGAGUCAGCUAAGCAGGACAGCAUUGCCCUUUUCACAGCCUGCAGGCCCCAUGGCAGGGAUGUGUGGUGAGUGACAGGAACUGGGUAAGUCUGCAUGCCAGUGGGAGCAAUGAAAUUGUUUCUCAUGCUAAGGCUGGCUGUACAAGCUGAGGUUUCCCCCCACUCUCUGAGGAGAUGCUGUUUUUCCUCUCCACAUGCUGGAUGCAGCUGGCAGCUCCUGGCAGCUGCAGGAAGGCUCUUGCCAUAAUCCUCUACAGUUUCCACUAAGCACAAGCUCACAUGCAAUGCAGAGCAUCUCUAUUAGGUUCUCAAGGAAAAAGAGCACUGGGGGGUGCCUUGCUUAUGCUUUGGUUGAUGGUAUUUGCCACAAAAUUAGGUCACCAUAUCUUAGGGUGACUCCUGUGUCGCUCUGAAGUGCAGGUUUUGGCUUCAUGACACCAUGGGAGAGGCCAGACUCUUGUUGUAAGUAGUGGGGUUCUGAUGUCUGUUGCUCACAUUUACCUGCCCUGUCCAAGUCACAUCUAAAAUACCACUUACUCAGAGCCACCUCCUAAUUAAAACCUUGGCAGGUUGCACCUAGAGUUCUCCUGUUUCAGCAUAUGACUUUGCUGGUUCCAGGUCUUUUGAAAUUCCUGGUCAAACACAAUUUUGUAUCCAUCUGCCCGACUGCUCUGCCCCAAAGCAUAAAUUUCAAGCAGCUGUAGCUCAUGUUAGGGAUGUAAAUACAACUGACUUCCAACUCAUUCAUUCCAACUCAUUGAUCCAUUUAUUUCAAAUCAUUAAAUUAAAUGACUUCAGUCAGCAUAUCCACAUUGCAUCUUCUAUGCAAUACAAAUCAAACACCAGAAACAAUGGAAUUUUAUAUUCUUGUGUUUGUGUCCUAUUCUGUGUGUUCUAAAAGCUGUUCUUCAGCAAAGUUUCAUAUGAAUACCAGGGAAAGGAAGACAGUCUCAGAGCCCUCACUUGCAGAGUAAUUACUGCAAAGGAUUGUUUUCACAUCUUGCUUCAGUGAUGCUGAGCUCCCAUGUGCUGCUUCCUUUUUCUGCAUGAGGAUAUGAAAGGCUCAGUCAUAUCCAUUUGCAGUUUACUGUGUGACUGUGGGAAGGCAUUGUUGCUGGAGAUGCCAGAAUAGAGCCUGCUCCAGUCACAUCCUCUGAGUUCUGAAUCCUCUGAGUUUCUGGGCUGACCAGAGACAAGGGUUUUUUUACGGAUCUGUUUUACAGACAUUUGUGGGCCAUUCAGACAUAACCAUUAUGAUCCAUGUAUUUUUCAGCUCCACACUUUGUGACUUUUCUUGCAGUCAGCUGUGCAGCUCACAGCUAGAUCUAUUUCUAAAGCAAGUGCUUACAAAAUACUAAAAAUAAAAUUAAAAAAAAACCAACCUUAUGAUUACUUGGAUUCCAAAUUCUAGAAAAAAAAAUAAAAUUUGUUUGAAAUCCAUUUUGUAACUUCUCAGUACUAGGAAAGAGAAAUAAAAUUGAAGAAGCUGUUCUGUACACAUUGGCCAGUGGACUGGAAAGAAGGAUUUUUAAAAACUCUUUCAGGUAGAACGAAAGGCUGUAAAAGAUCAGACUUCCUGGCCAAGGGAAAUAAGGACUUUUCUGCUUCUGUAAUAUCAGCCUUUUACCAAAAUUAGGGAGAGAAGCAGGGAAUUGCUUCCAUUUUAAGAAGUACUGUCAGUGGCAGCACAAAAAGGUCUGAGCUCAACAGAAAAUUUCAAGUUGCUGCUUCUUUGGAAAUCUCUUUUCACAGAGAUCUGGGGUCAAAUUCUUUUCUAAGCUCUCUUGGCACCAUACCAACAAAACCCUGCCAGUGUAAUUGAGGGAGCCCUUGUACCUGAGGGAGCCCUGACUCCUGCUUUCAUCAGGACUGUGCUGUCUAUGUGUAGUCUGACCUUUUUUCACCCACGCUGUGACCAUCUCGUGUGUGUCAGCCUGAGGAAUAAUGUCCUUGAAGAUUGCUUUGAAGUGAGGUGCAUAUUGUAGUAGCAGACAGGAGAUUGAUUCCUUCUUUUUUAAUCCGUGCAAACCAAAACUCUCACAUUCCGUGCUCUCAAAAAAUCUGCUCAUGUUUAAUCCAGUGUCAUUUAGAGCCUGGCAGCCACCAGCUCUAUGCCUUUUCCAGCUGUGUGCUGAGCUUCCUUUGCUACCCUUAAAUCAGAGGAUGAUCACUGUGGGGUCACCUGCGGAUCAGUCUCUUGAGGCCUCAGACAUUUUCCCUGCAGCUGCAGAAUGUGUCUGUGCUGAGCUGCACCAGGUCUUGGGGAAGAGCUUUGCAAAUAAUUUAGCGUAACUCUGCAUUUUACUGAAAGAUAAGGAUUUUCUGGUUUUGGAAAACAAAUCCAUUUCUUGAUGCAGGUUGACAGUGCUUUUGCCCUUCUUAUAACACCGUUUCUUGAAGGCAAAUCUUUUAAAAGGGACCUUUUAGUCUCUCCUGAAGAUUACAGUCUUGUAGGGGUCUUGCCUUGAUCUGUAGAUUUAAUGGCUUAAUAAGCACUAGACACUCCUAUUAUGCAGUAACAAAUAGGAAUACAAUACUUUUAUCAAUAUUUGGCACAAUUACUUUUUUAUGUGAAAGUAAAUAUUGAUGCUGUCAAGUGACUGCAGCUUAAGGGCAUAAAUUACAAAUAUUCUCCUGUGAGCCCUGCUCAAGUCAUGCAUUCAUAUACAGUAACCAUCUAAUGUCUUUCUAUUCCUGUAAGCUAUAUGGUUUGAUUGCCAGAUUACAUGGUUCUGUAUUGUGCUUAGAUGUCAGUGUUUUUAUUGUUAUUACCAAUACUAUGUUUUAUUCUUACUGUAAGUGGUAACAAAAAAUUAACUGCUUCCUUACACUAUAAAAAGAAUACAGUCCCAUUUACUGAAUGUCUCCAAACAGAAAAUAUAUUUGGAAAAAAAAAAAACCCAACUGAAUAAAUAAUUCACAACAUGAUGGGUGAGUAGGAAAAAAGGUCUUCUGAUGUAUUUUGCUACUCAGGACAAAACCAGAUUUUUAAAAUAAAGUAACUGCCUUUUUGAAUAGAGAAUGAAAGCUCUUCUAAAGAAUGAUUGCAAUCAGUGUCUUUUUACCCAUUCUGCAGUUUUGUAGGUAAUAGGACUUGUGAAAUUAAUGAACCCAUCCCUUUGGUUUUUCUGAUUCUUGUCUUUGUUCCAUCCUCCUGUUUCUUCGUUAGCUUAUUUUUUGGCUUAUUUACUGAAUGAAAUGUCAACCCACCCACCCGAAAGAAACCAUAACAUUUCAAGAAUACCAGACUGCAACAAAGUGAACUAGCCCAUCAGUAAUAAAAACAUACAGUAAAUAAAAUCGUUAAAGCCUUGCAAUUAAAGUCUCCCAUAUUAAAACUGCCCACGGUUUCAGUGCAUUAUGCUCCGGAUUUCCCCAGAAGAGCAUCCCUGGGAAAAUCAGCAUGUGCAUUUUCCUGUUUUCUCACGAAACCGGAGCUUCAUCAGCUCUCAGGGAAGUAUGUAAUGGUGAUGGGUGUGGUGCGGUCCUGCAGUCCGGAGCCCAUUCUUCGAGCAAUAAAGAUGACCGAUCUCUCUGAAAACCCCAUCCAUAAGAAUAUGUGGAACCUUGAAGUGGAGG